GUGGGGAAUUUUGCGCAAUGGGCGAAAGCCUGACGCAGCGACGCCGCGUGAGGGAUGAAGGUCCUAGGAUUGUAAACCUCUGUCAGGAAGCAUUAAAUGUACGGACGUUAACACCGUUCGUGCUUGACUUAACUUCCAGAGGAAGCCCCGGCUAACUACGUGCCAGCAGCCGCGGUAAUACGUAGGGGGCAAGCGUUACUCGGAUUUAUUGGGCGUAAAGAGAAUUAAGGCGGUCAUGUAAGUCAGUGGUGAAAUCCCCCGGCUCAACUGGGGAAUUGCCUUUGAUACUGCGUGACUUGAGGACAGGAGAGGAAGGCGGAAUUCCCGGUGUAGCGGUGGAAUGCGUAGAUAUCGGGAGGAACACCUGAGGCGAAGGCGGCUUUCUGGACUGGUCCUGACGCUGAUAUUCGAAAGCUAGGGGAGCAAACAGGAUUAGAUACCCCGGUAGUCC
rnacentral:rRNA from 1 species